GAGUUUGAUUAUGGCUCAGAUUGAACGCUGGCGGCAUGCUUUACACAUGCAAGUCGAACGGCAGCGGGGAAGUGCUUGCACUUCUGCCGGCGAGUGGCGAACGGGUGAGUAAUGCAUUGGAACGUACCGGGUAAUGGGGGAUAACUUGCCGAAAGGUAAGCUAAUACCGCAUACGCUCUUAGGAGGAAAGCGGGGGAUCGUUUGACCUCGCGUUAUCCGAGCGGCCAAUGUCUGAUUAGCUAGUUGGUGGGGUAAAAGCCUACCAAGGCAACGAUCAGUAGCGGGUCUGAGAGGAUGAUCCGCCACACUGGGACUGAGACACGGCCCAGACUCCUACGGGAGGCAGCAGUGGGGAAUUUUGGACAAUGGGCGCAAGCCUGAUCCAGCCAUGCCGCGUGUCUGAAGAAGGCCUUCGGGUUGUAAAGGACUUUUGUACGGGAAGAAAAAGUUGUGGUUAAUACCCAUGACUGAUGACGGU
rnacentral:rRNA from 1 species